CGCUUUGACUCCUACGGGGAGGCAGCAGUAGGGAAUCUUCCACAAUGGGCGCAAGCCUGAUGGAGCAACACCGCGUGAGUGAAGAAGGGUUUCGGCUCGUAAAGCUCUGUUGUUAAAGAAGAACACGUAUGAGAGUAACUGUUCAUACGUUGACGGUAUUUAACCAGAAAGUCACGGCUAACUACGUGCCAGCAGCCGCGGUAAUACGUAAGUGGCAAGCGUUAUCCGGAUUUAUUGGGCGUAAAGAGAGUGCAGGCGGUUUUCUAAGUCUGAUGUGAAAGCCUUCGGCUUAACCGGAGAAGUGCAUCGGAAACUGGAUAACUUGAGUGCAGAAGAGGGUAGUGGAACUCCAUGUGUAGCGGUGGAAUGCGUAGAUAUAUGGAAGAACACCAGUGGCGAAGGCGGCUACCUGGUCUGCAACUGACGCUGAGACUCGAAAGCAUGGGUAGCGAACAGGAUUAGAUACCCUGGUAG
rnacentral:rRNA from 1 species